rnacentral:rRNA from 1 species
UUCGUAGGCGGUGCGGCAAGUCGGGAGUGAAAUCUCUGGGCUUAACUCAGAGGCUGCUUCCGAAACUGCCGUGCUCGAGUGUGGGAGAGGCGCGUGGAAUUGCAGGUGUAGCGGUGAAAUGCGUAGAUAUCUGCAGGAACACCCGUGGCGAAAGCGGCGCGCUGGACCACAACUGACGCUGAGGAACGAAAGCUAGGGGAGCAAACAGGAUUAGAUACCCUGGUAGUCCUAGCCCUAAACGAUCAGGACUUGGGGUGCCGCCCGUUCGGGCGUCGUCCCGGAGCUAACGCGUUAAGUCCUGCACCUGGGGAGUACGGUCGCAAGACUGAA